rnacentral:rRNA from 1 species
UACGAGAGGCCCAAACGUUAUUCGGAAUUACUGGGCUUAAAGAGUUCGUAGGCGGCGCAGAAAGUAGGGUGUGAAAGCCCUCGGCUUAACCGAGGAAUUGCGCUCUAAACUACUGUGCUUGAGGAAGCUAGAGGUGAGCGGAACUGAUGGUGGAGCGGUGAAAUGCGUUGAUAUCUACUCAGGAACACCCGGGAGGCGAAGGCGGCUCACUGGGGCUUUUCUGACGCUGAGGAACGAAAGCCAGGGUAGCGAACGGG